GAAUAGCUCUGUCGGUAGAGCGUGAGACUCUUGAUCUCAGGGUUGUGGGUUUGAGCCCUGUGUUGGGCA